rnacentral:rRNA from 1 species
AACGAACGCUGGCGGCAUGCCUAACACAUGCAAGUCGAACGAGACCUUCGGGUCUAGUGGCGCACGGGUGCGUAACGCGUGGGAACCUGCCCUUAGGUUCGGAAUAACUCCCCGAAAGGGGUGCUAAUACCGGAUAAUGUCUUCGGACCAAAGAUUUAUCGCCUUUGGAUGGGCCCGCGUUGGAUUAGCUAGUUGGUAGGGUAAAAGCCUACCAAGGCGACGAUCCAUAGCUGGUUUGAGAGGAUGAGCAGCCACACUGGGACUGAGACACGGCCCAGACUCCUACGGGAGGCAGCAGUGGGGAAUAUUGGAAAAUGGGCGAAAGCCUGAUCCAGCAAUGCCGCGUGAGUGAUGAAGGCCUUAGGGUUGUAAAGCUCUUUUACCCGGGAUGAUAAUGACAGUACCGGGAGAAUAAGCUCCGGCUAACUCCGUG